GUGCUCUCUUCGGCAGCACAUAUACUAAAAUUCGAACAAUACAGAGAAGAUUAGCAUGGCCCCUGCACAAGGAUGACACGUAAAUUCAUGAAGCAUAUUUU
rnacentral:snRNA from 1 species